GUCCACGCCCUAAACGAUGUCGACUGGUUGUUGGGGUUUGACACUCUCAGUAACGAAGCUAACGCGUGAAGUCGACCGCCUGGGGAGUACGGCCGCAAGGUUAAACUCAAAGGAAUUGACGGGACCCGCACAAGCGGUGGAUUAUGUGGAUUAAUUCGAUGCAACGCGAAAACCUUACCUACCCUUGACAUGUCCGAGAGCCUGGAGAGAUUCAGGUGUGCCCGAAAGGGAAUCGGAACACAGGUGCUGCAUGGCUGUCGU
rnacentral:rRNA from 1 species